rnacentral:rRNA from 1 species
AGUGAACGCUGGCGGCAGGCCUAAUACAUGCAAGUCGAACGGCAGCACAGCAGAGCUUGCUCUGUGGGUGGCGUGUGGCGGACGGGUGAGGAAUACAUGGGAAUCUGCCCAGUCGUGGGGGAUAACGUAGGGAAACUUACGCUAAUACCGCAUGCGCCCUUCGGGGGAAAGCCGGGGACCUUCGGGCCUGGCGCGAUUGGAUGAGCCCAUGUCGGAUUAGCUAGUUGGCGGGGUAAUGGCCCACCAAGGCGACGAUCCGUAGCUGGUCUGAGAGGAUGAUCAGCCACACUGGAACUGAGACACGGUCCAGACUCCUACGGGAGGCAGCAGUAGGGAAUAUUGGACAAUGGGCGCAAGCCUGAUCCAGCCAUGCCGCGUGAGUGAAGAAGGCCCUCGGGUU